rnacentral:misc_RNA from 1 species
CUUAUUGGUUAAAGAUUUUAAUUACAUCACCAUGACAUCAUGCUUAUGUUAUUAAUUAGAUUUUGUUUUCUUUUCUUUCUUUUCCCAUUUCCAUUACAUAUUCAUGAUUUUAAUUCAUUUUAUGUGUUUUAUGCUCUCUCGUUUUAUUUGAUAUUUAGGUCAAAAUUCAAUACUGAUGGUGAAAUGACCAAAAUGCUUUUCAUUGAACUUAUCGGGUUCUAUUUGUCUGUACCGAUUGAUUUAAUUUUCUUUAAUUUUCUUUAAUUUUCUUUGACAUUUUUAAUGUCAUUUAAUUCUCAUAAAACCUUCAAUAUAAUCCUAAUAUUUAUCUUAUAGGGUUUCCCCACGAGUCUGGGAUUAGCAGCUGUCUUCACAGUUCCUACCCAUUAGGGUCUCUCAUCGCUGUGACUUCGGAUGCUUUAACAGAAUUGCACUUCGCUUUUUUAUUUUUCCUUGAUUUUACUUGGCCUUUAUUCAACCAUUUUAUGACACCUCACUCUAGUUCAAGUGUAGUUUCAGACAUCCUGACUGUCCUUACAGACGUUAGUCAUCGGAGAAUGUACGGAUUACCUAAAGUGAG